AUUGAACGCUGGCGGCAGGCUUAACACAUGCAAGUCGAGCGAGCGGAGGACGGGUGAGUAAUGUAUGGGAAACUGCCCGAUGGAGGGGGAUAACUACUGGAAACGGUAGCUAAUCCCGCAUACCAUCAGAUGUACCCAUAUGGGAUUAGCUAGUAGGUGGGGUAAUGGCUCACCUAGGCGACGAUCCCUAGCUGGUCUGAGAGGAUGACCAGCCACACUGGAACUGAGACACGGUCCAGACUCCUACGGGAGGCAGCAGUGGGGAAUAUUGCACAAUGGGCGCAAGCCUGAUGCAGCCAUGCCGCGUGUGUGAAGAAGGCCUUCGGGUUGUAAAGCACUUUCAGCGAGGAGGCGUUACUCGCAGAAGAAGCACCGGCUAACUCCGUGCCAGCAGCCGCGGUAAUUC
rnacentral:rRNA from 1 species